UACGUAAGUGGCAAGCGUUGUCCGGAAUUAUUGGGCGUAAAGCGCGCGCAGGCGGUCCUUUAAGUCUGAUGUGAAAGCCCGCGGCUCAACCGUGUAAGGUCAUUGGAAACUGGGGGACUUGAGUGCGGAAGAGGUUAAGGGAAUUCCCGGUGUAGCGGUGAAAUGCGUAGAGAUUUGGAGGAACACCAGUGGCGAAGGCGACUAGCUGGUCUGUAACUGACGCUGAUGCGCGAAAGCGUGGGGAGCAAACGGGAUUAGAUACCCUGGUAGUCCAGGCCGUAAACGAUGAGUGCUAAGUGUUAGGGGAUUCCCGCCCCUUAGUGCUGCAGCAAACGCAUUAAGCGCUCCGCCUGGGGAGUACGGCCGCAAGGGUGAAACUCAAAGGAAUUGACGGGGGCCCGCACAAGCGGUGGAGCAUGUGGUUUAAUUCGAAGCAACGCGAAGAACCUUACCAGGUCUUGACAUCCCGUUGACCACUGGAAAGAUAUGGAUUUCCCUUCGGAGACCACGGAGACAGGUGGUGCAUGGUUGUCGUCAGCUCGUGUCGUGAGAUGUUGGGUUAAGUCCCCCACCGAGCCCAACCCCUAUUCUUAGUUGCCACCAUCUAGUUGGGCACUCUAAGGAGACUGCCGGUGACAAACCGGAGGAAGGUGGGGAUGACGUCAAAUCAUCAUGCCCCUUACGUCCUGGGCUACACACGUGCUACAAUGGUCGAUACAAACGGCAGCCAACCCGCGAGGGGGAGCUAAUCCGAUAAAAUCGUUCUCAGUUCGGAUUGUAGGCUGCAACUCGCCUACAUGAAGGCGGAAUCGCUAGUAAUCGCGGAUCAGCAUGCCACGGUGAAUACGUUCCCGGGCCU
rnacentral:rRNA from 1 species